rnacentral:rRNA from 1 species
UGGGGAAUAUUGGACAAUGGGCGCAAGCCUGAUCCAGCAAUGCCGCGUGUGUGAAGAAGGCCUUCGGGUUGUAAAGCACUUUAAGCAGGGAAGAAAAAACUCGGUCUAAUACAUCGAGUCUUGACGGUACCUGAAGAAUAAGCACCGGCUAACUCUGUGCCAGCAGCCGCGGUAAUACAGAGGGUGCUAGCGUUAAUCGGAUUUACUGGGCGUAAAGCGUGUGUAGGUGGUUGUUCAAGUCAGUUGUGAAAUCCCUGGGCUUAACCUGGGAACUGCUUCUGAGACUGAACGACUAGAGUACGGUAGAGGGUGGUGGAAUUUCCGGUGUAGCGGUGAAAUGCGUAGAUAUCGGAAGGAACAUCAAUGGCGAAGGCAGCCACCUGGGCCUGUACUGACACUGAGACACGAAAGCGUGGGGAUCAAACAGGAUUAGAUACCCUGGUAGUCCACGCCGUAAACGAUGAGAACUUGACGUCGGUUUGCUCUGCAAGUCGGUGUCGUAGCUAACGCGAUAAGUUCUCCGCCU